ensembl:lncRNA
AAAUUCUUAGAGAAUCAGCCUCAAAGUUUUCCCUUCACCAAGGAACAGUCCCUGCCUACAAGAGAGGCAAGAGUGCUUGUUCACUCUGCUGCAGAUAAACGUGCAGAGACUAGAGGCUCUGCCCUAACACAAGGACCUGCAGAUCUCCUUCUACCUACUUACCAGGGCUGGCUUCUGGAGUUUAGGAACAUAAAACAUAUUGAAGAUUUAAAUCAAGAAAAAAGAAGGGUUGGAGUACAUUCCUGCUGCCUGAAUUUCAAUGCCCAGAUCUUACUCCAGAUUUUGAGAGCAACAAUCUUUAACGCCAUUCUACUUGAGCAAGCGGAUCAGACCAGAUGGUCUCCAGAGAUCCCUGCCAACCUCAGCCAUUCUCUGAUUCCAUGUUAAAAUGUGGAAUGUAAAUAAGCCAGCAGAUGCUCAGAAUUCCCCUCCUCUCUUUUCCUGUUGAAAAUCUAUUUUCCUGUUGAAAAUCUAUUGUCCCAGUUCUAUGAUUGCUUAGACCCAUUCCUGUAAAUUAUUUAAGUUAAAAAUUCCAGUAAUGCUGUCUUGCUGCUAGUCAUCCUCACUCAUUUGCAGCUGGAAACAAAAGUGCCUUGCUUAAUGGAAUCUUUAAAUGACUGUGACUUCAGCUGUACGUGUUCACACAAGAUGUUUUUAAUAGAAUGCGUUGGAAGUGACCUUACAGUCCAUGACGCUGCCAGGGAAAACCCUGAAAAUCACUAUCUCAGCCUGCCCAGGGCCCCAUCCAAUCUGGCUUUGAUCAAAUGCCUUCAUGGACAAGACAUCCACAGCUUCCCUGGGCAACCUGCGCCAGCGCCAACAGCUCUACAUCCUUCUAUGUUGCAGGUCCCAGAGCUGAAUGCAGCACUCCAGGUAUGAUCUCACAAGAGUGGAGUAGAGAAUCGACUCCCUUGACAUGCUAGUAAGAUUUAUUUUCAUGCAGCCCAGGAUACAACUGGCUUCCUGGGCUGCAAGUGCUCAUGUUGUUGUCUCAUGUUCAGUUUUUUGUCCUCCAAUACCCUCAAACCCUUCUCCCCAGGGCUGCUCUCCACCAUUUAUUGCCCAGCCUGUAUUCAUAUUUGGGAUUGCCCUGAUGCAGGUGCAGAACCCUGUAUUUGACCUAAUUGAACUGCAUCUGGUUCACAUGGGCUACCUCUCAAGCCUGUCAUUGUCCCAUUGGAUGCUUCCACUGUCCUCCAACAUACUGACUUCACCACUCAGUGUGGUAUUGAUCUCAAACUUGCUGAAACAGCACCCAGUCCCAUGGUACAUGUCACUGAGAAGGACAUUAAAGGAACCAGUCUCAGUACUGACCCUUAAGAAAAGCACCAUCGCUGAUCUCCACCUUGACACUGAGCAGUUCCCAAUGGUUUGAGUGCAGCAGCUCCAUCUACCAUUUCUCUUGGGACCCUUGGUUGCAUCUCAUUAAGUCCCACAGAUUUGCACACAUACAAAUUUCUUAGAUGAUAGUCUUGAAUGUGAUCUCCUACGGCAGACAGUACUUCAUUUUUCCAUUCCAUGCAUUCAGGUGCUGUGAAUUGGGCACAGGUGGUACUAAGGGACCCAGCAUGGCAACGGAGAUGGCAAUAACAAGAAACACAGUUGUUGGGCAACAGUCAGCUUGGUCCCAUUUUCACAGACAUAAUGCUGAAAUGAAAUCACCCUUCCCCCAUGGUGAAGUCUUUAUUUUUUGCCCAUUAUGAUCACAGUACUUUAUUUUAAGGAUGAGACAAUGAACUUGGGGAAAUGUGAGAUAAUCCUUGGGAUGUACUCCAGUCUUUAUUGUUUCUACUAUGUUCUACUCACAGCAAACAACCAUUAAGGUAUUUGAUUCGGUCCCAGACUGUCAUUUUAUGAAGCAAUAAAAUAUGU